GGGGACGACAGGCUUCGACGUGGUCGAUUCGUGGGGGUGGUUGCGAGUCGAGGUUCCGGGAGGCCUCGUAAAACCCCCGGAAAACAAUAAGUGCGGACACGCACACGUAUGACCUCGGCCUAGCGGCUUAGUCGCGAACCGUGGAUCUCUCGGCCUUCGCCCGCCUGCGGCGGAGAUAACCGGGAUCAGCUAGCAGGCUUACUCGGUAAGGAUCCGCUCCGGCCGACCCGAGGACACCUAACGGAGCUGGCCCUCGACAACCCGGCCGGCGAGGCGAGUCGAGGGCGAGAUCAGAGCGCCGGCUACGCUCGUAGAAGCCACCUUUCACGCGAUUGCGGACGUGGGUUCGAUUCCCACCGUCUCC
rnacentral:tmRNA from 1 species